rnacentral:rRNA from 1 species
GACGAACGCUGGCGGCGUGCUUAACACAUGCAAGUCGAACGGAAAGGCCCUGCUUUUGUGGGGUGCUCGAGUGGCGAACGGGUGAGUAACACGUGAGUAACCUGCCCUUGACUUUGGGAUAACUUCAGGAAACUGGGGCUAAUACCGGAUAGGAGCUCCUGCUGCAUGGUGGGGGUUGGAAAGUUUCGGCGGUUGGGGAUGGACUCGCGGCUUAUCAGCUUGUUGGUGGGGUAGUGGCUUACCAAGGCUUUGACGGGUAGCCGGCCUGAGAGGGUGACCGGCCACAUUGGGACUGAGAUACGGCACAGACUGCUACGGGAGGCAGCAGUGGGGAAUAUUGCACAAUGGGCGGAAGCCUGAUGCAGCAACGCCGCGUGCGGGAUGACGGCCUUCGGGUUGUAAACCGCUUUCGCCUGUGACGAAGCGUGAGUGACGGUAAUGGGUAAAGAAGCACCGGCUAACUACGUG